AGUUCAUACAUAUUCUCCUUAGCUCACUAAUUAAUCAACCAGGGAAUUAUAGAGAAUGAUCAGAGAGGUAGAAGCAGUGGUUAAUGGAGACGUUGGGAUAUAUAUAUCUUACUAUGUUCCUCCCUCCCCUUCCCCCUCUCCUCCCACUCCUCCUUUCUCUCUCUCCUAUGCCAUGGGUCUCAUUCUCAAGCUCUGGUUUAAGAGGGUAGUUCCACACAGUGGAAUUUAAAAAUAUCGUAGCAAAGUCUAUCGUACUAAGACCAACGAAGUAUGAUUUCAAAAUCAAGUGGAACUAGUUGUCAAAUCUUAGUUUUAAAGCUCCUGCAUUGUAUUAAGUUUCCUUAGCUCAUGUCGAGGCCAUCAAAUCACUUCUCAUUUUAGAUGAAAAUCCUUUUUAGACAUUUUCUUAAUCUUUUCGUUUCAUGAAUGUCUAUCAUGUUCAAAAAAUUAUGGAUGGUGUAAUUUCAUUCUUAUCAAUGCAUAUAUAGUAAAAUUAUAAACUACUUCUAACAAA